AUGUUAGCUAAGUCUCCCAAUGACUUAAUAACGUGUUUCCAUUUCACCUUUGAAAAUCUUAAGAGUUCAGUGCAUCCACGGGCAUCCGGGCAUUUAUUCCUAUUUCUGCUUCUUAAACAGGCUCUGCGGAGGAGCAGUUUCGACCGAGAAGUUCAUAGCAGCAGUUAUUACGGAACUUGCAACAGUUGGUGCCGGGCGAUAGGCAGGUCCCGUUUCCCUCUGUGCGGCGGCCGGCGGGACCAUAAGGGCUUAACUCAUAUAUUUAACCCCCCUCCAAAAAGUAAGUGGCCCGUGUGGUGUCUCCGCUCCGCCCGCCGCCCCCUAGCCCCAGUUCAUCCUUGUGUCUGACUCUCCUGUCCUCCAGCAUUGUUACUUCCCCGUCUUUGCUUCGGUGCUGCUGGUGUGUGGGGAGAUGCCCUCUCGUCGUCCGCUGUCCCCCACGCCCAGUCCUCGGGGAGGCCCAGAAUUCCAGCCCUGUCUCCCCCAGGGGAAUAUUCUUGGGAACCAGGUCUUCCCGGCAGAAUGUAGGAGAAUCUAUCCGUUCGCUUGGGCCCCUCAUCCCCUCCUUCCCGACAGGGUUUCGUUGGAAGGAAUUAUGCAAAUCCUGCUUUCUGGUGUCCAUUCAGCGGCAAUUUCAUGCGGUGAGAAGUUCUCUUUGUUGUGCGAGGGGGAGAACAGACACUGAUUUAAUAGACAUAUCUGUUGGGGGGAAGGGUGGAGGGGGUGUGGAGAGGCUCAGUUUGGAAGAAUUACAGCACUUGGUUAGCUCAAUGUCUUUGUGUUUGAGCCUUCUGGCUUGACAGGAGGGUCUGCCCUUUACAAUGUCCCACAAGGGGUGUUUUCGAUAAUAGAUUGAAAAGCAAAACUGAAACUUUAAACAAGUGAAAAAUCAGGUAACCUUUACUUGAACAAUAUACGCCUUUCCAUUUCUACAGGGUUUCAUUACGAACAUGUAUAGCGUGAGUUUUGUUAAGGAUUUAGACUGUAACACCAAAAUUAAUAUAGACAACAAUGCUUUAAGGUAUGUGAUACCACUUUGGUUGUCCAAAGGUUAAAAGUGCAUUUUCAAACAUAUGCUUGUGCAAAUAAUAAAGGCAUGAGUCAUUUUUUUGGUAUAAUUCAUCUCAUGAAUAUAUUUUAAAAAUCCCCUUCUGCCAAUCCAAGACCAGUGCUGCCCUCCAGGAAACAGCCUUUUGGCUCUCAGUUAUCCUGUACUCUGCUCUAUCUCUACUUGUUUUAUUCUUUCAAACCUAUUAUACUUUUACUAAAAUGUCACGUCGGUUUAAGUACUUUUUGAAUUACUUGUUAUUUCGUACUAUCAUAGAAGAGAGCAUAUAGCAGGUUUUGAGAAGUAUGAAAUUGCGUUUUCAGAAUUGUGGGUUAGUAUCAAAUGCUGGAAUUGUUUUGAAUAAUUUUUGGUUCUUGUAUGUUUCACAUUUGUUAGUGAUUGGUUUUUUCAGCAGGGCUUUUUAGUCUUUGAAAGAUUUUUAAAUUUAUAAUGUAGUCCUGUCCUGUAGAUAUUCUAAGUUCCAUGUUGCUUUAGUUUAGAUGAUUUUAAUUAGUGUGUCUUAUUCUAAUUCUCUUGGCUUUUAAUCCUGGCCUCCUGCCUCGGGACCCCAUUUUAUCAGUCAUUGCUAGUUAGUGAUUAGUUACUGCUGCUUGACAAGGUGUGUGUGUGUUGUUGUUCUUUUUUGUUUGUUUGUUUUUUUGAGACGGAGUUUCGCUCUGUUGCCCUGGCUGGAGUGCAGUUGCGCCAUCUCGGCACACUGCAACCUCCGCCUCCCAGGUUCAAGGGGUUCUUCUACCUAAGCCUCCCGAGUAGCUGGGACUACAGGCGUGCGCCACCACGCCCAGCUAAUUUUUAGUGGAGACGGGGUUUCCCCAUAUUGGCCAGGCUGGUCUCGAACUCCUGACCUCCUGAUCCGCUUGCCUCGGCUUCCCAAAGUGCUGAGAUUACAGGUGUGAGCCACCGUGCCCGGCCGUGUUUUUGGUUCUUAAAAUUAUGACUGACAAAUAAUUUCUGUAAAUAUCUCAAUGGAAUAUCAAAAUUUUGAUUCACUUUUUGAAGGCAGAUUUUAAUCUGGUGAUCAAAUUUCUUUAAGCAUACUUUUAAGUCCAAAUUUCCACUUUAAAGGUAGUAAAGUUCAGAAGAUUACAGAGUCCAGAGUGCAGAGCAAUAUUUUAAUCUGAGCAGUAACAUAUAUUCGUAGUCUCCCAACUAAAAUCAGUGGGGCCUUAUAUUUUCUCUUUUAUUAUAUGUAAUUUUGUUCUUUAAGAGGAGAGUUCUAAGUAAAUUAAUUGUAGUGUUAAGAACUUCCUAUAUUUAAAAGGACUGGCAGUGAUGCUUACACAAUUUAAAAGGUAACUUGUUUGCUUCCCGAUGUAGUAAUUCCUCUUUUAGUGGAAUUGGUUCUAAACAGUUAACCUAUUUGAUUCUCUUGACUGAUGAAUGCUUUAGGGUCAUUUGGUUUCUGAAAGGUAUUUAAUUUACAGCCCUUUGGAUUAAAAAUUCUCAGUCAUUUCUAAAAUCAAAUUCUCCCUUCUAUUAAUACUUUUUUGGAGGGUGUGGGGGCAGGCGAUGGUGGUGAAGUUGAUUAAAUGAUUAGGUUCAGUUGAAUUGGAGUUAGUCCUGGGUUCAGACGGUGAUUAUGAUCAAGAUGGAUAUUUGGUUGCCAGGUGAUUAUUAAGGAGUCCUCUGAGACUAGGAUGAUCAGUUUAGAUUCCAGGAAGAUCUAGGCUCUCUCUGCGCCUGAUGUGAUGUAACCUUUUGCUUUGCUGCACCUUGCCCUUGCCGUAUUUUCAAGAAGCUCUUCCUAAUGUGGGGAAAGUUGUGGUGAUUUCAGCUUAGCUGUAGCUUGGCUAAAAAUAGGAUGGCAGAUGAGUCUCUUUGACUUUCAGAAAGUUAUUUCAGAUUGCCCUAAUUUCCUCAAACGUUCUUGUAGCUGGAGCAAUUCUAGGAAGUAUUUGAAUUAUGCCAUUUUUUAGCCUUAUGGAACUACACAGGGGGGCCUGGAAUAUCUUACAUAGUGAGAAUUGGUUAUUUGAUGCCACUUUUAUUUUUAUUUGAAUUUUUUUUUAGAGAUAGAGUUUGGCUAUGUUGUCCAGGCUGGUCUCAAACUCCUCCUGUCUCAGCCUCCCAAAGUCGCUUGCCUGAUAGAACUUGCCACUUCAGAGUACCUGCCUAAUCACCUAGCUGUUUGUAUGCAUGCUGUUUUUAGGAUGAAGGGCAGUUAGGUGUUUACUUCAUUUAAAUAAGUAUCUGUCUUGUAUCAGGCACUGUGGGCAAACAAAGUUACUGGGAAAGCUGCCUUAACCUUAAGGAACUUUUAAAUCUUAGAGAAAAUGUAAUCAGUUAUUGUACAAGGCAUAGUGUGUCAUAUGAUGGUGCAAGCAAAUGCUAGUGGUGUUUAGAAGUGAAAUAAAUCUCUCCUGAGAUGAUGAAGGAAGAUUUCUUGAAGGUGGUAGAUUUUUGCUUCAUUCUAAUGAAUAUGGAAAAGGCAUUCCAUUCGUGAUAAAUGACAUGAGCAAAAGCGGAGAAGGACAGCAAUGACUUGUCAGUUUAAACUGCAGUUCAUGAUUAGUGUAAGGGAUAUACACAAUAGGUUUGCAAAGGUAGGUUGUAGGAUUUUCUAAUGCAUGUUAGAAAGUGGAGACUUUUUGUUAGGCAACUUGCAGUUUGCAACACGUUUUUUUUACUUAGCCCAGGGGAGGAAUGUUUCCUUUAGUUAAGGAUUUCAUUGUGGAACUCUAAAAAAAGGACACAGAAUCCUUUUUUUGUUUGUUUGUUUUGAGACGGAGUCUUGCUCUGUCGCCCAGACUAGAGUGCAGUGGUGGCACGAUCUCAGCUCACUGCAACCUUUGCCUCCUGGGUUCACGCCAUUCUCCUGCCUCAGCCUCCUGAGUAGCUGGGACUACAGGCGCCUGCAACCACGUCCGGCUAAUUUUUUGUCUUUUUAGCAGAGACUGGGUUUCACCAGUUAGCCAGGAUAGUCUCGAUCUCCUGACCUCGUGAUCCACCCGCCUUGGCCUCCCAAAGUGCCGGGAUUGCAGGCGUGAGCCACUGCACCCAGCCNNNNNNNNNNNNNNNNNNNNNNNNNNNNNNNNNNNNNNNNNNNNNNNNNNNNNNNNNNNNNNNNNNNNNNNNNNNNNNNNNNNNNNNNNNNNNNNNNNNNGAGACGGAGUUUCACUCUAUGCCCAGGCUGGAGUGCAGUGGUGCAAUCUCCGCUCACUGCACCCUCCACCUCCCAAGUUUAAGAAAUUCUCUGCCUCAGCCUCCCAAAUAGCUGGGAUUACAGGCGCGUGCCACCACACCCAGCUAAUUUUUGUAUUUUUAGUAGAGAUGGGGUUUCAGCAUCUUGGCCAGGCUGGUCUUGAACUCCUGACCUCAUGCUAAUUUUUUGUAGUUUUAGUAGAGACAAGGUUUCAGCAUCUUGGCCAGGCUGGUCUUGAACUCCUGACCUCAUGCUAAUUUUUUGUAGUUUUAGUAGAGACAAGGUUUCAGCAU
rnacentral:lncRNA from 10 species